UACAGAGGUCUCAAGCGUUGUUCGGAUUCAUUGGGCGUAAAGGGUGCGUAGGUGGCGCUGUAAGUCGGGUGUGAAAUCUCGGGAGCUUAACUCCGAAACUGCAUUCGAUACUGCCGUGCUUGAGGACUGGAGAGGAGACUGGAAUUUACGGUGUAGCGGUGAAAUGCGUAGAUAUCGUAAGGAAGACCAGUGGCGAAGGCGGGUCUCUGGACAGUUCCUGACGCUGAGGCACGAAGGCCAGGGGAGCAAACGGG
rnacentral:rRNA from 1 species